rnacentral:rRNA from 1 species
UACGGAGGGUGCAAGCGUUAUCCGGAAUGAUUGGGCGUAAAGCGUCCGCAGGUGGCUGUGUAAGUCUGCUGUUAAAGAGUGAGGCUCAACCUCAUAAAGGCAGUGGAAACUACAUGGCUAGAGUGCGUUCGGGGCAGAGGGAAUUCCUGGUGUAGCGGUGAAAUGCGUAGAGAUCAGGAAGAACACCGGUGGCGAAAGCGCUCUGCUAGGCCGCAACUGACACUGAGGGACGAAAGCUAGGGGAGCGAAAGGG